AAAAAAAUCUGACCUACGUAUCAACCCAGGAUCACUAUGAAGAUGCAUACAAGGUUUGAUCUGAUUGUUACCAACUCAUAGUGCAACGGAAGUAGAGUUGGUGAAGAUCGCGUGUGCAGAUUCUCGGAGCUAAGAUUUUACAACCUCCCAACCACAAGGAUGUUCUCCCUCAGACAACUCCUCAAAAGGUCCCACGAACAACCCUCCGGGAGGAUCUCGGACAAAAUCUCGGAUAGUUCCUUGGGGUAGCUCUCGAACAGAACCUUGACAUAACCUUGGCGUGUCUCUUGAACUAAGAUCGAAGCUACAAUCUCUCCACCAGGUUGGACACAUCUAGUGUCAACUAUCCUGGAAGGCUUUGUCGUCUAGAACUAGACCCUAUCGAAGACUAGACAACCUUUAAGCAUACGAAACCAUUUCGUGUGUAGAAAAAUAGAAACCCACAUCAUU
rnacentral:lncRNA from 1 species